UACGAAGGGGGGCUAGCGUUGCUCGGAAUUACUGGGCGUAAAGCGCACGUAGGCGGUCUUUUAAGUCGGGGGUGAAAUCCUGGAGCUCAACUCCAGAACUGCCUUCGAUACUGGAAGACUUGAGUCCGGGAGAGGUGAGUGGAACUGCGAGUGUAGAGGUGAAAUUCGUAGAUAUUCGCAAGAACACCAGUGGCGAAGGCGGCUCACUGGCCCGGUACUGACGCUGAGGUGCGAAAGCGUGGGGAGCGAACAGG
rnacentral:rRNA from 1 species